rnacentral:rRNA from 1 species
AUUGAACGCUGGCGGCAGGCCUAACACAUGCAAGUCGAACGAGUGGCGGACGGGUGAGUAAUGUCUGGGAAACUGCCUGAUGGAGGGGGAUAACUACUGGAAACGGUAGCUAAUACCGCAUACCCUCAGAUGUGCCCAGAUGGGAUUAGCUAGUAUGUGGGGUAAAGGCUCACCAACGCGCCGAUCCCUAGCUGGUCUGAGAGGAUGACCAGCCCCACUGGAACUGAGACACGGUCCAGACUCCUACGGGAGGCAGCAGUGGGGAAUAUUGCACAAUGGGCGCAAGCCUGAUGCAGCCAUGCCGCGUGUAUGAAGAAGGCCUUCGGGUUGUAAAGUACUUUCAGCGGGGAGGCGUUACCCGCAGAAGAAGCACCGGCUAACUCCGUGCCAGCAGCCGCGGUAAUAC